rnacentral:rRNA from 1 species
GUGGUUAAAAAGCUCGUAGUUGGAUCUCAACAGCCUUGAAGCGGUUAACUUUGUAGUUUUACUGCUUUAUAGGCUGUGCUUUUGCUGGAGGUUUAGGGGUGCUCUUGAUCGAGUGUCUCUGGAUGCCAGCAGGUUUACUUUGAAAAAAUUAGAGUGCUCAAAGCAGGCUAAAAUGCCUGAAUAUUCGUGCAUGGAAUAAUAGAAUAGGAUGUCGAUCCUAUUUUGUUGGUUUUCGGGACUCGACAUAAUGAUAAAUAGGGACAGUCGGGGGCAUUUGUAUUCAAACGACAGAGGUGAAAUUCUUGGACCGUUUGAAGACAAACUACUGCGAAAGCAUUUGCCAAGAAUGUUUUCAUUAAUCAAGAACGAAAGUUAGAGGUUCGAAGGCGAUUAGAUACCGCCCUAGUUCUAACCAUAAACGAUGCCAGCUAGCGAUCUGCCUGCGUUUUUACUGUAGACUGGGCAGGAAGCUUCCGGGAAACCAAAGCAUUUGGGUUCCAGGGGAAGUAUGGUUGCAAAGCUGAAACUUAAAGGAAUUGACGGAAGGGCACCACCAGGAGUGGAGCCUGUGGCUUAAUUUGACUCAACACGGGAAAUCUCACCA